GACGAACGCUGGCGGCGUGCUUAACACAUGCAAGUCGUACGGUAAGGCCCUUUCGGGGGUACACGAGUGGCGAACGGGGGCGUAACACGUGAGUAACCUGCCCACAACUUUGGGAUAACGCUAGGAAACUGGUGCUAAUACUGGAAAUGUGCUCCUGCUGCAUGGUGGGGGUUGGAAAGCUCCGGGGGUUGUGGGUGGACUCGCGGGCUAUCAGCUUGUUGGUGGGGUAGUGGCGUACCAAGGCGGCGGCGGGUAGCCGGCCUGAGAGGGUGAGCGGCCACAUUGGGUUUGAGAGACGGCCCAGACGCCUACGGGAGGCAGCAGGGGGGAAUAUUGCACAAUGGGCGCAAGCCUGAUGCAGCAACGCCGCGUGCGGGAUGACGGCCUUCGGGUUGUAAACCGCUUUCAGCAGGGACGAAGCUUUUUGUGACGGUACCUGCAGAAGAAGCACCGGCUAACUACGUG
rnacentral:rRNA from 1 species